rnacentral:ncRNA from 1 species
GUGCAGCACUACGGGCGCUUGUGUGACACUCCUCGCUUUCAUCCACCUGACCAAAGCCCAUCGUCGGCCGGUCAGAGAUGAACGAGUUCCAGUGCUACGACACAAAGCUGAGAUUGUACCGUCAGAACUCGAUCAAGUUAAUGCUUGCGUGAGAAACGUGCUGCCGCUUCUAC